GGCUUGUUGAUUAUAAUUUCAGGUCUAACCUGCCCAAUGAUUAAUUAAAUGGCCGCGGUAUAUUGACUGUGCAAAGGUAGCAUAAUCAUUAGUUUUUUAAUUGAAAGCUUGUAUGAAAGGUUUGAUGAGAGAAUUUCUGUCUCUGUAAAAAUUAAUUAGAAUUUUAUUUUUAAGUAAAAAAGCUUAAAUUUACAUAGAAGACGAGAAGACCCUAUAGAGUUUUAUUUUUUUAAUUAAAGAGAGAUUUAAAGAUAAAAAAUUUAAUUUAGUUAAAAAUGUUUUGUUGGGGCGAUAGAAAAAUUUAAUUAACUUUUUUUUGUAUAGGUACAUUUAUUUAUGGGUGGUUGAUCCUAAAAUUUUGAUUAUAAGAAUAAAUUACCUUAGGGAUAACAGCGUGAUUUUUUUUAGAGUUCUUAUCGAAAAAAAAGUUUGCGACCUCGAUGUUGGAUUAAAAUUUAUUGUUGGUGAAGGAGCUAAUAUAUUAGGUCUGUUCGACCUUUAAAAUUUUACAUGAUCUGAGUUUAGACCGGCGUGAG
rnacentral:rRNA from 1 species